UACGAGGGGGGCGAGCGUUGUUCGGAAUUAUUGGGCGUAAAGGGUGCGUAGGCGGUUCCGCAAGUCCUGUGUGAAAUCUUCGGGCUCAACUCGAAGUCUGCACGGGAAACUGCGGGGCUUGAGUGUGGGAGAGGUGAGUGGAAUUCCCGGUGUAGCGGUGAAAUGCGUAGAUAUCGGGGAGGAACGACCUGUGGCGAAAGCGGACUCACUGGACCACAACGUGACGCUGAGGCGCGGAAAG
rnacentral:rRNA from 1 species